CAGUAGCAUUCAUCUGAGCCAUGAAAAGCCCAUAGAGCUGAAAGAGGAAGUGGGAAAGAGAGUCACUCUUCCCCACUUCCUCCUUCAGCUCUGGAUGCUUUUUAAAGGGAGGGAAAAGUAGCCCUUUUCACCAUCUCAUGACUCAGAGGCUUCAUGGAUGCUGGACCGGACCUCAAGGGUACCACUGUACCCACAGGCGCCAUGUUGGGACACAACUGAAAGAGGACAGGCAGGAGAUAAGGCAGGAACCAGGGCCAGGAUUGUGGAGGAAGUGGAGAAACGAAGACGUGGAUUUUGAGAAGAGGGACUGAGACGCUUUCUGCCCAUCUUCCUUCCUCCUUUAAGCUUCCUUACAGCCAAGAGAACCUGAAAUAAUAGUACCAAGAGGUUCUCUCCUCGAGAAGAUGUCUUCCCUCCUGGCCGCCAUGGUCCUCCUCCUCCAUAGCUGAACCGUGGGGCUCCCUGACCUUCUGGAGGAUUUAGUGCUGAUGGUGCAGAAGAUAACGGGAUAAAAAAGGACAGUUCCCACCGGCUGACUGUGGAAACAGGAAAGAAGCUGAGAUCAUCCUGUUUCCUUUUCUACCCUGAGCCAUCCUAGGGGCAGCUGCAAUCCUGCCCACAACUUAUCCUAGUACUCUGUGGAAGGCACUGGCGGGGAGAGCAGCACAGCAGGUGAGCAGAGGUGAAUUAUUUGGGCCCUAGGACAGGCUUCCUCCUGAAGUUGGGGGGUGGGGUGGGGUUGGGUGGUUCAGAUCUCCUGGAAGAUGCAACUAUUGUAUCCAUCCAUGGCCACACCCACACUACAUUUAAAGCGGUCUCAUGCCUCUUUAAAACAAGUCAUGGCUCCCCCACUAGCAAUUUCUGGGAACUGUAGUUCGUUAAGUGUGCUGGGAAUUGUAGCUCUAGUCAUGUUCAUGCCCUACAUUUAAAGCAGUAUCAUAGCACUUGAAGUCAUGGCAUCCCCCAAAGAACCAUGGGAGCUGUAGUAUGUUAAGGGUGCUGAGAGUUGUGUGGAGACCCCUACUCCUCUCAAAGAGCUACAAUUCCCAGAGUUCCCUGGGAAAGAGGGACUGAUUAUUAAACCACUCUAGGAAUUGUAGCUCUGGGAAGGGAAUGGAGGGAGGGUGUCUCCUAACAACUAAGCACCCUUACCAAACUACAACUCCCAGGGGAAGCCGUGAUGGUUUAAA
rnacentral:lncRNA from 1 species